AUGGUGGACGCUAGAGAAUAUGACCUGGAGAUACAUAAGAGGAUAUACAACACACAAGAUGAUCCAUUUUGUAGAGUAAAGAAUGACAGCAAGAAGGAUUGUGAUCUUUAUAAUAACAGACCUGAAGUGAACAUCAUUGAUGGGACUCUGAUAAUAAACCGUGUGAUCAGAACAGAUUCUGGGAAUUACAGAUUAGAACUAUUUAACUUAGAAGGCACAAGAACAUCUGAAAAACAUCUUCAAGUGAUUGUUGAAGCUCCUAUUGGCUCAGUGGAAGUGUCAAUCAUCUGCUCCUCCAAUCAGAGGUCAGUGUCCUGCUCAUCUGACGGGAAUCACAUCAUCUACAGCUGGACUCUGAAUGGAGAAAUACUAGAACAUGGACCAAUGAAUGGAAACACCACCAUUCAGCUAAAUGAGGAAACUGAUGGAGACAUCAGCUGCAGCGUGAAGAACCACGUCAGUCACGCACAGAAGAACAUUAGAGUCCAACCCUGUCCUGUGUGUUCAGUGUCUGUGGUGUUUGUUCUGGUCUGGUGUCUCCAGAUGAUGGUUCUGUUCGGUCUGUUAGGAGGUUUUCACAUCUACAUGAGACACACGUCAGGAAAGAAACAAGGAAGAUCAGAAAGUGAGAAUGAGAAGAUUUAGAGAGAGACAUGAACACACAGCAGAAGAUCCAUGAGAGCAGCAGCAGAGCUUCACAUCUGUGAGAAAUGAGUUCAGAAUCAGUCCAGCUUUCACCUGUCAGCAGCAGGAGAUCUUACAGAAUAAAGCCAGAAGACAUUUUCUGCA
ensembl:lncRNA